UACGUAGGGGGCAAGCGUUGGCCGGAAUCAUUGGGCGUAAAGCGAGCGUAGGCGGCCCGAUAAGUCUGCUGUAAAAGUCAACGGCUCAACCGUUGAAAGCCGGUGGAUACUGUCGGGCUAGAGUUCGGAAGAGGCAAGUGGAAUUCCUGGUGUAGCGGUGGAAUGCGCAGAUAUCAGGAGGAACACCUAUAGCGAAGGCAGCUUGCUGGGACGAUACUGACGCUAAGGCUCGAAAGCGUGGGGAGCGAACAGG
rnacentral:rRNA from 1 species